rnacentral:rRNA from 1 species
UACGGAGGGUGCAAGCGUUAUCCGGAUUCACUGGGUUUAAAGGGUGCGUAGGCGGACAGGUACGUCUGUGGUGAAAUCUCCGAGCUUAACUCGGAAACUGCCAUGGAUACUAUUUGUCUUGAAUACUGUGGAGGUGAGCGGAACAUGUCAUGUAGCGGUGAAAUGCUUAGAUAUGACAUAGAACACCAAUUGCGAAGGCAGCUCACUGCGCAGUGAUUGACGCUGAGGCACGAAAGCGUGGGGAUCAAACAGG